rnacentral:rRNA from 1 species
GUCCACGCCCUAAACGAUGCAUAUUUGGUGUGGGCGAUUCAUUUCGUCUGUGCCGGAGCUAACGCGUUAAAUAUGCCGCCUGGGGAGUACAGUCGCAAGGCUGAAACUCAAAGGAAUUGACGGGGGCCCCGCACAAGUGGUGGAGCAUGUGGUUUAAUUCGACGCAACGCGAAGAACCUUACCUGGGCUCGAAAUGCUAUGGACCAGCUUAUGAAAGUAGGCCUUCCCGCAAGGGACCGUAGUAUAGGUGCUGCAUGGCUGUCGU